CUAGCAUAUCAAUAAGCGGAGGAAAAGAAACCAACAGGGAUUGCCCCAGUAACGGCGAGUGAAGCGGCAAGAGCUCAAAUUUGAAAGCUGGCUCCUUCGGGGCCCGCAUUGUAAUUUGCAGAGGAUGCUUCGGGAGCGGUCCCCAUCUAAGUGCCCUGGAACGGGCUGUCAUAGAGGGUGAGAAUCCCGUAUGGGAUGGGGUGCCCGCGCCCGUGUGAAGCUCCUUCGACGAGUCGAGUUGUUUGGGAAUGCAGCUCUAAAUGGGUGGUAAAUUUCAUCUAAAGCUAAAUAUUGGCCGGAGACCGAUAGCGCACAAGUAGAGUGAUCGAAAGAUGAAAAGCACUUUGAAAAGAGAGUUAAAAAGCACGUGAAAUUGUUGAAAGGGAAGCGUUUGCGACCAGACUCGCCUACGGGGUUCAGCCUGCCUUCGGGCAGGUGUACUUCCCCGUGGGCGGGCCAGCGUCGGUUUGGGCGGCCGGUCAAAGGCCCUCGGAAUGUAACGCCUCUCGGGGCGUCUUAUAGCCGAGGGUGCCAUGCGGCCUGCCCGGACCGAGGAACGCGCUUCGGCUCGGACGCUGGCUUAAUGGUCGUAAACGACCCGUCUUGAAACACGGACCAAGGAGUCUAACAUCUAUGCGAGUGUUCGGGUGUCAAACCCGUGCGCGCAGUGAAAGCGAACGGAGGUGGGAACCCUCACGGGUGCACCAUCGACCGAUCCUGAAGUCUUCGGAUGGAUUUGAGUAAGAGCAUAGCUGUUGGGACCCGAAAGAUGGUGAACUAUGCCUGAAUAGGGCGAAGCCAGAGGAAACUCUGGUGGAGGCUCGCAGCGGUUCUGACGUGCAAAUCGAUCGUCAAAUUUGGGUAUAGGGGCGAAAGACUAAUCGAACCAUCUAGUAGCUGGUUCCUGCCGA
rnacentral:rRNA from 1 species